rnacentral:rRNA from 1 species
CUGGAGAGGGUAUUCGCCCCACCUGGGGAUUGAGACCCGGCCCCAGUUUCCUACCGGGAGCCAGCAGUAGGGAAUUUUUCGGCAAUGGACGAAAAUUCUGACCGAGCAACGCCGCGUGAAUGAAAAAAGUUUUUCGGAUCGUAAAACUCUGUUGUUAGAGAAGAACAAGGAUGAGAGUAGAACGUUCAUCCCUUGACGGUAUCUAACCAGAAAGCCACGGCUAACUACGUGCCAGCAGCCGCGGUAAUACGUAGGUGGCAAGCGUUGUCCGGAUUUAUUGGGCGUAAAGCGAGCGCAGGCGGUUUCUUAAGUCUGAUGUGAAAGCCCCCGGCUCAACCGGGGAGGGUCAUUGGAAACUGGGAGACUUGAGUGCAGAAGAGGAGAGUGGAAUUCCAUGUGUAGCGGUGAAAUGCGUAGAUAUAUGGAGGAACACCAGUGGCGAAGGCGGCUCUCUGGUCUGUAACUGACGCUGAGGCUCGAAAGCGUGGGGAGCGAACAGGAUUAGAUACCCUGGUAGUCCACGCCGUAAACGAUGAGUGCUAAGUGUUGGAGGGUUUCCGCCCUUCAGUGCUGCAGCAAACGCAUUAAGCACUCCGCCUGGGGAGUACGACCGCAAGGUUGAAACUCAAAGGAAUUGACGGGGGCCCGCACAAGCGGUGGAGCAUGUGGUUUAAUUCGAAGCAACGCGAAGAACCUUACCAGGUCUUGACAUCCUUUGACCACUCUAGAGAUAGAGCUUCCCCUUCGGGGGCAAAGUGACAGGUGGUGCAUGGUUGUCGUCAGCUCGUGUCGUGAGAUGUUGGGUUAAGUCCCGCAACGAGCGCAACCCUUAUUGUUAGUUGCCAUCAUUUAGUUGGGCACUCUAGCGAGACUGCCGGUGACAAACCGGAGGAAGGUGGGGAUGACGUCAAAUCAUCAUGCCCCUUAUGACCUGGGCUACACACGUGCUACAAUGGGAAGUACAACGAGUUGCGAAGUCGCGAGGCUAAGCUAAUCUCUUAAAGCUUCUCUCAGUUCGGAUUGUAGGCUGCAACUCGCCUACAUGAAGCCGGAAUCGCUAGUAAUCGCGGAUCAGCACGCCGCGGUGAAUACGUUCCCGGGCCUUGUACACACCGCCCGUCACACCACGAGAGUUUGUAACACCCGAAGUCGGUGAGGUAACCUUUUUGGAGCCAGCCGCCUAAGGUGGAUUGAAAUGCU